AUUGAACGCUGGCGGCAGGCCUAACACAUGCAAGUCGAGCGGAUGAAGGGAGCUUGCUCCUGGAUUCAGCGGCGGACGGGUGAGUAAUGCCUAGGAAUCUGCCUGGUAGUGGGGGAUAACGUCCGGAAACGGGCGCUAAUACCGCAUACGUCCUGAGGGAGAAAGUGGGGGAUCUUCGGACCUCACGCUAUCAGAUGAGCCUAGGUCGGAUUAGCUAGUUGGUGGGGUAAAGGCCUACCAAGGCGACGAUCCGUAACUGGUCUGAGAGGAUGAUCAGUCACACUGGAACUGAGACACGGUCCAGACUCCUACGGGAGGCAGCAGUGGGGAAUAUUGGACAAAGGGCGAAAGCCUGAUCCAGCCAUGCCGCGUGUGUGAAGAAGGUCUUCGGAUUGUAAAGCACUUUAAGUUGGGAGGAAGGGCAAUAAGUUAAUACCUUGCUGUUUUGACGUUACCAACAGAAUAAGCACCGGCUAACUUCGUG
rnacentral:rRNA from 1 species